rnacentral:lncRNA from 1 species
AUGAAACAAUGUUUGGAAUGUAAGCCUAGGAGCCAGGAGACUCAGGCCCAGCCUUACAUCACUUGGUGCCCCGGGAUGAUCACAAUCUUCUCAAGGCUUCAGCUCCCUUUUUUUUCAGGGUGGACUGUUCUUCCUUUGAGGUCUCUAAGCCUCUUAUAUUACUGUAUUUCUGUUGGGACUGCCUAGACACAUACAAAUGUGUUUCAAUCCAAACUGGUGGAAGAGGAAAAAGCGCUUCCCUCACUGCACCCCGCAUGCCAAAAGAAAUGCAAUGAAAGGACUUAAAAUAAGAAGAGAGUGCAGUAUAUAAGCGGUUUUGUGUUUUUUGCUUUUAUCUGUCGAAAGAAACAAACAUAAGAUUUUUUUAUGCUUUCAAAAAUCUAAAUCAUGAUCUAUUUUCUGUUGCUGUUUCUAUUUUUAUACCAAUAAAAACAAGCAUCAUGUCUAUUUCCCGAAGAAG